rnacentral:rRNA from 1 species
AUUGAACGCUGGCGGCAGGCCUAACACAUGCAAGUCGAGCGGAUGAAGGGAGCUUGCUCCUGGAUUCAGCGGCGGACGGGUGAGUAAUGCCUAGGAAUCUGCCUGGUAGUGGGGGAUAACGUCCGGAAACGGGCGCUAAUACCGCAUACGUCCUGAGGGAGAAAGUGGGGGAUCUUCGGACCUCCCGCUAUCAGAUUAGCCUAGGUCGGAUUAGCUAGUUGGUGGGGUAAAGGCCUACCAAGGCGACGAUCCGUAACUGGUCUGAGAGGAUGAUCAGUCACACUGGAACUGAGACACGGUCCAGACUCCUACGGGAGGCAGCAGUGGGGAAUAUUGGACAAAGGGCGAAAGCCUGAUCCAGCCAUGCCGCGUGUGUGAAGAAGGUCUUCGGAUUGUAAAGCACUUUAAGUUGGGAGGAAGGGCAGUAAGUUAAUACCUUGCUGUUUUGACGUUACCAACAGAAUAAGCACCGGCUAACUUCGUG